CCUACGGGUGGCUGCAGUGGGGAAUAUUGGACAAUGGGGGGAACCCUGAUCCAGCCAUGCCGCGUGUGUGAAGAAGGCCCUCGGGUUGUAAAGCACUUUCAGUGAGGAAGAACGCCUGGUGGUUAAUACCCAUCAGGAAAGACAUCACUCACAGAAGAAGCACCGGCUAACUCCGUGCCAGCAGCCGCGGUAAUACGGAGGGUGCGAGCGUUAAUCGGAAUUACUGGGCGUAAAGCGCGCGUAGGUGGCUUGAUAAGCCGGUUGUGAAAGCCCCGGGCUCAACCUGGGAACGGCAUCCGGAACUGUCAAGCUAGAGUGCAGGAGAGGAAGGUAGAAUUCCCGGUGUAGCGGUGAAAUGCGUAGAGAUCGGGAGGAAUACCAGUGGCGAAGGCGGCCUUCUGGACUGACACUGACACUGAGGUGCGAGAGCGUGGGUAGCAAACAGGAUUAGAUACCCGAGUAGUC
rnacentral:rRNA from 1 species